CAGUAGCCGCGGUAAUACGAAGGGUGCAAGCGUUACUCGGAAUUACUGGGCGUAAAGCGUGCGUAGGUGGUGGUUUAAGUCCGUUGUGAAAGCCCUGGGCUCAACCUGGGAAUUGCAGUGGAUACUGGGUCACUAGAGUGUGGUAGAGGAUAGUGGAAUUUCCGGUGUAGCAGUGAAAUGCGUAGAGAUCGGAAGGAACAUCUGUGGCGAAGGCGACUAUCUGGGCCAACACUGACGCUGAUGCACGAAAGCUAGGGGAGCAAACAGGAUUAGAUACCCCGGUAGUCCCUGUCUCUUAUAC
rnacentral:rRNA from 1 species